rnacentral:lncRNA from 1 species
UACGACAUCCCUUAAAUGUGUGCCGUAAUAAUACAAUUAUUUAAAGUAUUUACUACAUACAUUUGCAUAGUCAACGUUUGUAAGUAAACUAUGUUACAUGCUAUAAUAAGCAAACUAUGUUGUAGAAGGGGAAUAUUAUUCCAUGUUCAUAGAAAGAUUUAAAUAAGGGAAAUGAAAAAAAAUUAAUUAAACCAAACAAUGAAGAAUUUUGAUUUGGCUUCUCUGAUUCUGAUUCCAUCAAAUUGUCCACAACUUUUGCCCCGAGCUUGAACUUUCGCUUCUCGUCCAACUCGAGUUAUCGGUAAAGAAUAUAUGACCUACAAGAUCUAUGCCAUCUUCAGGAGUCAGAAGUACACACCCAGAAAUAAGGUGUUUCCAGCCUUCCCUAUCUGAUCACCAUAUCAUUCCUAAAAUUUUCAAGUUUCCAAAUUGUGUCCUUCGUCCCCUACCAAAAUUUCCUUCAAGAAUCACUAAUUCACUUUGGUGGAACAUUCAGGACCACUGGAAACAUCUUGGCUAGCAAGAGAAUCAACUACAGAUAUUUUCAAAUCAGUCAUGCUACAUGUGCAUUCUACUUUAUAUUAAGUUUGACGUUCUAACACAUGCAUUCAUCAUCUCUACUGAUUUUUACAAUAGUCUUUUACAUCACUGACUAGAUUUUGACACAUAGGAGGAUGUCAAAAAAAAUGUCAACAGGGAAUGUACAUAUAGCUUAAUCUUUUCAAACUACUACAUGCACGACAUCUCGGGUGCUUCCAAAUAAUUAUACCGAAUAUUUACACGUUAAUUACUAAGAUAUUAUGAAUCGUACGGGUGGUCUUUACAAUCCAUGUUGGAGUCACCAGGGUCGAAGCUAGAAAGUGAUUUUAGGGUAAGGCUAGCCCUGUUUGACAAUUAUUUUAAAGAGAUUUUUUUAUUUUAUUAUUAUUAUUAUUUUGAGAAAAUGAGUUUUGGAGUAGAGAUUUUUUGAAGAAUGUUCGAUUAAAAAGCAGGAAAAAUUAUGGGUUUAUGGACAAAAUAUUUUAUUGUGAAAAUGAUUUUGAAAAAAAAAAAGAGUUUUUGUAAAAUGGUUGUCAAACAGGGAUAAAAUUAAAAAAAAGUAAUAAUGUCUUAAUCGAAUUAAUAUUUAGCGACCGAUGAGAACAGUGUUAAGAGAAUAUAAUCCCACAUCGGUAAAAUACCGAAACAAUGACCAAUAUAUAAAGGAUUGGGACACUCCUCUUAAUAAGGUUGACCUUGUUAAGAUGGACCCCAAACUUUAAAAUGGUAUCAGAGCCAACCCAUGAAUUUCAAGAUUGGUGUGAUCAAGUGAGCCACCAUCUUGAGGGGGCCUGUUAAGGUAUUAUAUCCCACAUCGAAUGAUGAUGGAAAUAAAUACCAAUUUAUAAAGGAUUGGACUUCUCCUCUUAACAAGGUUGACCUUAUUAAGAUGGACCCCAAGUCUUAACAUGGUAUCAGAGCCCAUUAAGCUCCAACGAGCGAUUCGAUCCGAUUAAGUCUCUAAAAAUGAGCACACGGAUUUCAAGAUUGGUCUGCUCAAAAGAGCCACCAUCUUGCGGGGGCAUGUUAAGAGAAUAUAAUCCCACAUCGGUAAAAUACCGAAACAAUGACCAAUUUAUAAAGGAUUGGGACACUCCUCUUAAUAAGGUUGACCUUGUUAAGAUGGACCCCAAGUCUUAAAAAACAGCUGAUAGAGAGAAGGAAGGAGAAUAAUCUGAAGGCUUAAAAGUAUUUGAUGAUGAUCUUCACAAGUUACAGCUAAAACUUAUGCAUAAGUAAAAUUUAUGCUUCUAGACCAUCAAUUACAGAAUUUGAUUUUCUGCGUGGGCUAUUUGUUUAACAAACUGAAUUUGGGUCAUAACGUCUUACUUUGUGAAAAUUAUAUUACACCAGUGCCGGUUACAACUUACAAUGAUACAGAUUCUACUUUCAUUUUUACUGCACACCUUUUUAUUCUAAAAGUACAUUUAAUUUGUAGUAAAAGUGAUUAAUUUUCAAAAAUUUACAUAAAACAAAUUAGCUUGAUUUAUGGAACAACCAACAAAAUUCACGGCGGUGAGAUCUCCUGAUCUUUCCAAACAAAAACUUACAUAGCACCAUUUGUUUCCCAUUAAUGUAAGAAUGAUAAUGAAAAAUAUUGCCGUUACGAGCCCCACACAAAAGAUAAAAAUUCAAAUAUGGUUGCUUGAUGUGAUGAAUAACGGUCAAAUUUUUUUAUUUUAAUAGCCAAAUAAUGAAAAACAAAUAGAGGCAUAAUCUUUCCUUUAUUGGACUCACAAAAUAACGUCUUACUAUCAUCAUGCAAUUCAGUCUUCAAUUCAAACGAAAUCCAAAUUUCAAUGAUAACCUUAAUAGAGAAACUGCAACAAGAAGAGGCGAGCGACUUGGGGUUUCUCAAUCUUGCGUUGUGGUGAUUUUUCUUCCAACCUGUUCAUCACCAAGGUACUAUCAUAUUAUUUGUGUAAAAAUGGGCUUUGUAUGUUAUUAGAAUAUGAGGGAAA